rnacentral:rRNA from 1 species
GACGAACGCUGGCGGCGUGCCUAACACAUGCAAGUCGAACGAGGUCCAUGCAGUGGCAACACUGCGGAAGACCUAGUGGCGAACGGGUGAGUAACACGUGAGGAACCUGCCCCGAAGACCGGGAUAACCCUCCGAAAGGAGAGCUAAUACCGGAUACCCCCACCGGAUCGCAUGAUCUGGUGAGGCAAUGGAUUCCGCUUCGGGAGGGCCUCGCGGCCUAUCAGCUAGUUGGUGGGGUAACGGCCCACCAAGGCAUCGACGGGUAGCUGGUCUGAGAGGACGAUCAGCCACACUGGGACUGAGACACGGCCCAGACUCCUACGGGAGGCAGCAGUGGGGAAUCUUGCGCAAUGGGCGAAAGCCUGACGCAGCAACGCCGCGUGGGGGAUGAAGGCUCUCGGGUUGUAAACCCCUUUCAGCAGGGACGAAUCAAGACGGUACCUGCAGAAGAAGCCCCGGCUAACUACGUGCCAGCCGCCGCUGUAAGAC